GUCCUUUUGAGUUUAAUUUAAGGUCUGACCUGCCCACUGAAUUUUUGAAGGGCCGCAGUAUUUUGACUGUGCAAAGGUAGCAUAAUCAUUAGUUUUUUAAUUAAAAGCUUGUAUGAAGGGUUGGACGAGGUAAAUUCUGUCUCUAUUUAAUUUAAUUUAGAAUUUAAUUUUUAAGUCAAAAAGCUUAAAUAUUAUUAAAAGACGAGAAGACCCUAUAGAUCUUUAUAUUAAAUUAAUUAAUUUUAUUUAAGAAUUAUUUAUUUUUUAAUAAGUUUAAUAUUUUAUUGGGGUAAUAAAAAGAUUAAUUUAAUUCUUUUUUUAUUUUUACAUUAAUAUAUGAUUAUAUGAUCCAAUUUUAUUGAUUAAAAGAUUAAGUUACCUUAGGGAUAACAGCGUAAUUUUUUUAAAGAGUUCAUAUCGAUAAAAAAGUUUGCGACCUCGAUGUUGGAUUAAAAAUUAUCUUAGGUGCAGAAGUUUAAGAUUUUGGUCUGUUCGACCAUUAAAUUUUU
rnacentral:rRNA from 1 species